rnacentral:rRNA from 1 species
UACGUAUGUCCCGAGCGUUAUUCGGAUUUAUUGGGCGUAAAGCGAGCGCAGACGGUUAAAUAAGUCUGAUGUGAAAGCCCUGAGCUUAACUUAGGAAUGGCAUUUGAAACUGUUUAACUUGAGUGUAGUAGAGGAAAGUAGAACUCCAUGUGUAGCGGUGAAAUGCGUAGAUAUGUGGAAGAACACCAGUGGCGAAGGCGGCUUUCUGGACUGUAACUGACGCUGAGGCGCGAAAGUGUGGGUAGCAAACAGG